CCUACGGGCGGUAGCAGUGAGGAAUAUUGGUCAAUGGACGAGAGUCUGAACCAGCCAAGUAGCGUGAAGGAUGACUGCCCUAUGGGUUGUAAACUUCUUUUAUAUGGGAAUAAAACGUUCCACGUGUGGGAUUUUGUAUGUACCAUAUGAAUAAGGAUCGGCGAACUCCGCGCCAGCAGCCGCGGUAAUACGGAGGAUCCGAUCGUUAUCCGGAUUUAUUGGGUUUAAAGGGAGCGUAGGUGGAUUGUUAAGUCAGUUGUGAAAGUUUGCGGCUCAACCGUAAAAUUGCAGUUGAAACUGGCAGUCUUGAGUACAGUAGAGGUGGGCGGAAUUCGUGGUGUAGCGGUGAAAUGCUUAGAUAUCACGAAGAACUCCGAUUGCGAAGGCAGUUCACUGGACUGCAACUGACACUGAGGCUCGAAAGUGUGGGUAUCAAACAGGAUUAGAUACCCCUGUAGUC
rnacentral:rRNA from 1 species